rnacentral:rRNA from 1 species
AAUGGACGAAAGUCUGACGGAGCAACGCCGCGUGAGCGAUGAAGGCCUUCGGGUCGUAAAGCUCUGUUGUUAGGGAAGAACAAGUACCGGAGUAACUGCCGGUACCUUGACGGUACCUAACCAGAAAGCCACGGCUAACUACGUGCCAGCAGCCGCGGUAAUACGUAGGUGGCAAGCGUUGUCCGGAAUUAUUGGGCGUAAAGCGCGCGCAGGCGGUCCUUUAAGUCUGAUGUGAAAGCCCACGGCUCAACCGUGGAGGGUCAUUGGAAACUGGGGGACUUGAGUACAGAAGAGGAAAGCGGAAUUCCACGUGUAGCGGUGAAAUGCGUAGAGAUGUGGAGGAACACCACUGGCGAAGGCGGNUUUCUGGUCUGUAACUGACGCUGAGGCGCGAAAGCGUGGGGAGCAAACAGGAUUAGAUACCCUGGUAGUCCACGCCGUAAACGAUGA